rnacentral:rRNA from 2 species
AAAAAUCGUAACAAGGUCUCCGUAGGUGAACCUGCGGAGGGAUCAUU